AGGCGGUGGGACUUUUGUAACUGGAAACUGGAAAAUCAGAGACGUUUAAAUUACCACUAGGAUGCAAACGGCAGCCUUCUCCAGGACGAAGUGAGGGGAGAGCCGGCUGCCUGGCCGAAUUAGUUCGUAAGCAUCCCGCGGGGACCUCUUAUUUUUUCCUGAGACACCGUGGCACACGCCUCCACCCCCGGUGCCUGGGCUGUGCGCUCGAGAUGUUGGCUUUCGUGCUUCAGACUCUGCAGGGCGAUUGUGAGACGUCCAGUCGACGGAAGCAGCUCUUGAGGACAGAACUCGCUGCGGUGAGAGCCUGAUAGUAAUUACUCGGAGGGAAAUUACAGCUCUUCUCCCUGAGAAAGUCUGUUGAAUCUACCGGGAGAACCAUCAUGGGGGGUGGCCACCGAUUUGUCUCUCCAUGAAGACUGCAAAACUCAG